rnacentral:sRNA from 1 species
GUACAAAAGAGGGGCAAAAGAUACCAGAGGGACAGUCAAGCUCAUUAAAAUCUAUGAGUUUGACUGUCCCUCUGGUAUCUUUCGCCCCUCUUUCAUA